AUUGAACGCUGGCGGCAGGCCUAACACAUGCAAGUCGAACGGUAGCACAGAGAGCUUGCUCUCGGGUGACGAGUGGCGGACGGGUGAGUAAUGUCUGGGAAACUGCCCGAUGGAGGGGGAUAACUACUGGAAACGGUAGCUAAUACCGCAUAACGUCGCAAGACCAAAGUGGGGGACCUUCGGGCCUCACACCAUCGGAUGUGCCCAGAUGGGAUUAGCUAGUAGGUGGGGUAAUGGCUCACCUAGGCGACGAUCCCUAGCUGGUCUGAGAGGAUGACCAGCCACACUGGAACUGAGACACGGUCCAGACUCCUACGGGAGGCAGCAGUGGGGAAUAUUGCACAAUGGGUGCAAGCCUGAUACAGCCAUGCCGCGUGUAUGAAGAAGGCCUUCGGGUUGUAAAGUACUUUCAGCGGGGAGGAAGGCGGUGAAGUUAAUAGCUUCACCGAUUGACGUUACCCGCAGAAGAAGCACCGGCUAACUCCGUGCCAGCCGCCGCCGUAACAC
rnacentral:rRNA from 1 species